rnacentral:rRNA from 1 species
CACGGGGGGAGCAAGCGUUGUUCGGAAUCACUGGGCGUAAAGGGCGCGUAGGCGGUCAGCACAAGUCAGUUGUGAAAUCUCCGGGCUUAACUCGGAAAGGUCAACUGAUACUGUGCGACUAGAGUGCAGAAGGGGCAACUGGAAUUCUCGGUGUAGCGGUGAAAUGCGUAGAUAUCGAGAGGAACACCUGCGGCGAAGGCGGGUUGCUGGGCUGACACUGACGCUGAUGCGCGAAAGCCAGGGGAGCGAACGGG